UGAACGCUGGCGGCAUGCCUAAGACAUGCAAGUCGAACGAGAAGGCCCAUAGAAGACGGAGUGCUUGCACAAAGUUGGAAAUGGAUUCCCUUCUAGUGGCAAACGGGUGAGUAACACGUGGGUUACCUACCUCUAAGACGGGGGAUAACAGUUGGAAACGAUUGCUAAUACCGGAUGUGCUCUACGGAGUAAAGAAGCCCUCAAAGCUUUAUGUGCUGAAAGAUGGUCUCGCGUCUGAUUAGCUAGAUGGCGGGGUAACGGCCCACCAUGGCGACGAUCAGUAGCCGGUCUGAGAGGAUGAACGGCCACAUUGGGACUGAGAUACGGCCCAGACUCCUACGGGAGGCAGCAGUGGGGAAUAUUGCACAAUGGAGGAAACUCUGAUGCAGCAACGCCGCGUGAGGGAAGAAGGUUUUCGGAUUGUAAACCUCUGUUUUAGUGAAGAAACAAAUGACGGUAGCUAAAGAGGAAGCCACGGCUAACUACGUG
rnacentral:rRNA from 1 species